rnacentral:rRNA from 1 species
GACGAACGCUGGCGGCGUGCUUAACACAUGCAAGUCGAACGGAAAGGCCCUGCUUUUGUGGGGUGCUCGAGUGGCGAACGGGUGAGUAACACGUGAGUAACCUGCCCUUGACUUUGGGAUAACUUCAGGAAACUGGGGCUAAUACCGGAUAGGAGCUCCUGCUGCAUGGUGGGGGUUGGAAAGUUUCGGCGGUUGGGGAUGGACUCGCGGCUUAUCAGCUUGUUGGUGGGGUAGUGGCUUACCAAGGCUUUGACGGGUAGCCGGCCUGAGAGGGUGACCGGCCACAUUGGGACGGAGAUACGGCCCAGACUCCUACGGGAGGCAGCAGUGGGGAAUAUUGCACAAUGGGCGGAAGCCUGAUGCAGCCACGCAGCGUGCGGGAUGACGGCCUUCGGGUUGUAAACCGCUUUCGCCUGUGACGAAGCGUGAGUGACGGUAAUGGGUAAAGAAGCACCGGCUAACUCCGUG